ACAGAGGGACCCUGACAUCAGGAGGACAGAGGUGCAAUGUCAGAGACACCCCUCAUCCUUAUGGCUUUGUGGAAGGCCAUCUCACAGAGGUGGGGCUGGAAUAGUGCUCUGAGACUGAUCCUUUCUUGUGAUGACCUGGGGCAUCUGCUGAGAUCUCUCAGCCUCCCAUUUCUCAGAGACUUGAGGCUGAUUGGUUGAGCAGGGGGCUAUUGACAAGGAGGAGUUUUCACCAUUUCCCAAUUGUGACUCACGGCUGGGGAGCUUGCUGGCAAAGUCUCCAGCCAUAAAGAGGCUCUAGUAUAUCUUGGAGCGCUUCUCUUGGAAGUGAGGCAUUGGACAGCAGCGGUGGCGCAGAGAAGUCUGGUGCUGAAGUGCUACAUCACUGUUGAUAGAAUAAGAACAAAAGCCCUGUUUAUGAAAACCACAUUACAGUGCAAGGAAACGGAGUCUCUGCCACUAGCUUUGAAACCAGAAGACACCGUACUCGGGACAGCUGCACUUUUCGAUGCGCCUCACUGACAACUACAAGGAAUUAAAGGUAAACAAUGUUUUUUCUGUUAGGACAUGAAAAGGGUCAU